rnacentral:rRNA from 1 species
GUAACCGGCUCACCAAGGCGACGACGGGUAGCCGGCCUGAGAGGGUGAUCGGCCACAUUGGGACUGAGAUACGGCCCAGACUCCUACGGGAGGCAGCAGUGGGGAAUAUUGCACAAUGGGCGGAAGCCUGAUGCAGCGACGCCGCGUGAGGGAUGACGGCCUUCGGGUUGUAAACCUCUUUCAGCAGGGAAGAAGCGCAAGUGACGGUACCUGCAGAAGAAGCGCCGGCCAACUACGUGCCAGCAGCCGCGGUAAUACGUAGGGUGCGAGCGUUGUCCGGAAUUACUGGGCGUAAAGAGCUCGUAGGCGGUUUGUCACGUCGUCUGUGAAAUCCUAGGGCUUAACCCUGGACGUGCAGGCGAUACGGGCUGACUUGAGUACUACAGGGGAGACUGGAAUUUCUGGUGUAGCGGUGGAAUGCACAGAUAUCAGGAAGAACACCGAUGGCGAAGGCAGGUCUCUGGGUAGUAACUGACGCUGAGGAGCGAAAGCGUGGGGAGCGAACAGGAUUAGAUACCCUGGUAGUCCACGCCGUAAACGGUGGGUACUAG